GUCCCGGUAGCUCAGUUGUAUAGAGCGUACGAUUCCUAAUCGUAAGGUCAUAGGUUAGAGUCCUAUCCGGGACACCA
rnacentral:tRNA from 1 species